rnacentral:rRNA from 1 species
GACGAACGCUGGCGGCGUGCCUAAUACAUGCAAGUAGAACGCUGAAGGAGGAGCUUGCUUCUCCGGAUGAGUUGCGAACGGGUGAGUAACGCGUAGGUAACCUGCCUGGUAGCGGGGGAUAACUAUUGGAAACGAUAGCUAAUACCGCAUAACAGUAGAUAUCGCAUGAUAGCUGCUUGAAAGGUGCAAUUGCACCACUACCAGAUGGACCUGCGUUGUAUUAGCUAGUUGGUGAGGUAACGGCUCACCAAGGCCACGAUACAUAGCCGACCUGAGAGGGUGAUCGGCCACACUGGGACUGAGACACGGCCCAGACUCCUACGGGAGGCAGCAGUAGGGAAUCUUCGGCAAUGGACGGAAGUCUGACCGAGCAACGCCGCGUGAGUGAAGAAGGUUUUCGGAUCGUAAAGCUCUGUUGUAAGAGAAGAACGAGUGUGAGAGUGGAAAGUUCACACUGUGACGGUAUCUUACCAGAAAGGGACGGCUAACUACGUGC